rnacentral:rRNA from 1 species
GAUGAACGCUGGCGGCGUGCCUAAUACAUGCAAGUCGAGCGAACAGACGAGGAGCUUGCUCCUCUGACGUUAGCGGCGGACGGGUGAGUAACACGUGGAUAACCUACCUAUAAGACUGGGAUAACUUCGGGAAACCGGAGCUAAUACCGGAUAAUAUAUUGAACCGCAUGGUUCAUUAGUGAAAGACGGUUUUGCUGUCACUUAUAGAUGGUUCCGCGCCGCAUUAGCUAGUUGGUAAGGUAACGGCUUACCAAGGCAACGAUGCGUAGCCGACCUGAGAGGGUGAUCGGCCACACUGGAACUGAGACACGGUCCAGACUCCUACGGGAGGCAGCAGUAGGGAAUCUUCCGCAAUGGGCGAAAGCCUGACGGAGCAACGCCGCGUGAGUGAUGAAGGUCUUCGGAUCGUAAAACUCUGUUAUUAGGGAAGAACAAAUGUGUAAGUAACUAUGCACGUCUUGACGGUACCUAAUCAGAAAGCCACGGCUAACUACGUG